UCUCCCCGUGCGCAGCGAACCCUAGCCCAUCCAGAUCGAACAUCCCUCGUCCCCAUCUCCUUGUCGCCGCAGCCACCUCCUCCCCGCCCUCCUCCGAUCCCCACCUCCUCCCCGUCCCCACCUGCCGGCCAUGGACAUCGUCGACUCUGUCGUUGACUCUUCCCUUCCAUCUCACCACCUCCUUCCCCAAGCGAUUGCCUCUCACGCUCGGGCUCGCGCUCGCGCUCCCCUUCGCCAUCGCCUCGCCAUCUCUGGUGCUCCAGCGAUGAAAGGCUGCUCCUUGGAGCGCGUGCGCUCGCGGGACCGGCCAGAUCCGGCGUUCAAGCCGGCCCUAGGGGGCAGGAUCGGCGUCUGCCCAUGGUCUGUAGCAGGGGAUUUGUGCGAUGGCUUUUGCUAGCAGGAUGGGGACUGUGCUGAGGAGGGCCUCGGGGUCCUCGAAUUCGUCGCUGCUCCAGGUAGUGAGGUGCAUGUCUUCUUCCAAGCUUUUUGUUGGAGGACUAUCAUAUGCCACAGAUGACCCAACUCGAUGCCUUUUCUGGCUACGGGGAAGUGAUUGAAG